rnacentral:piRNA from 1 species
UCAAGGAGCACGGUGGGGACUCUGUCCCUUA